AAUGUGAAGCCGAUGGUGUGAAUAGAUUGCUGGUGGUGUAAGAGGAGGUGUAUUUUUGAAUCCGUGGCUGAGCUGUCUAGAUUUAUAUCUUCUAACAGAAUCAGCAUAGCUGUCAUUAAAGCUGUUUCACAGAAUGAAUUCUUGUCCAGUUGUAGCAAGAGAGGGUCCUGUGCGAAGGGUCGCUAUCUUUGGAGGAACCCACGGCAAUGAGUUGUCUGGGGUAUUCCUGGUCAAGCACUGGCAGGAUGAUGGAACAGAGAUUCAGCGACCGGGGCUGGAGGUACGGCCUUUUAUCACCAAUCCAAGAGCAGUGGAGAAAUGUUGCCGAUAUAUUGACUGCGACCUGAAUCGGGUUUUUGAUCCUAAAAGACUUGGCGAACAGCUUGCAGACAACACUCUGUAUGAAGUGAGAAGGGCUCAAGAAAUAAACUGCAUAUUUGGUCCAAAAGGUAGCCAUGAAGCCUAUGACCUUAUAUUUGACCUGCACAACACAACAGCUAACAUGGGUGGCACCAUCAUACUGGAAAACUCCAGGGAUGAUUUCACAAUUCAGAUGUGUCGCUAUAUAAAGGAUGCUUUGGCUCCAGAAGGUUGCCCUGUUUUCCUCAUUGAGCAUCCCAACCUGAAAUAUGCAACGACCCGGUCUAUAGCAAAACAUCCUGUAGGCAUUGAAGUGGGUCCUCAGCCCCAAGGAGUUCUCAGGGCUGACAUUUUGGACAAAAUGCGGAGGAUCAUCAAGCAUGGCCUUGACUUUGUGCAAAUGUUCAAUGCAGGAAAAGAAUUCCCUCGGUGUACAAUUGAAGUUUACAAAAUAAUGGAGAAAGUAGAUUAUCCAAGAAAGAAAAAUAAUGAGAUCAUGGCUGUCAUUCACCCUAACCUGCAGGAUCAAGACUGGCAGCCUCUCAACCCUGGUGACCCUAUGUUUUUAACUCUUGAAGGAAAGACAAUCCCAUACGAAGGAGACGUGAUAGUAUAUCCAGCCUUUGUGAAUGAAGCUGCUUAUUAUGAAAAGCAACAAGCUUUUGUAAAAACUGUAAUAGAAAAAUUGAGUGCAGAAGGGAUCAGAGCAUGUGUCUCUUAGAACUGGAAUAAUUUUUCAUUUAACUUUUUCAAAACUUAGGAUGAAACCCAAUUACAGAUGCAUUUGAUCUUUCUAAUUCAAGAUGCCCAGAACUCAAAGGCUGUAACUCAGACAGAGACUUUAAUAUUUAAUGGAUAAGAUUGGCCACCUUUUUGAAUCUCCUAUUAAAGUCAGGAGGUGAGGUGGCUCCUCCCAUCCAUUCCCUCUGCAGUACUGUCUUCUGGCACCCGGGCAAGCAGGUACCCAGUAGAGAGGUGGAUGGAAGAAGGUAGAUAGCCAUCUACUAGUACAUCUCAGGGCCAUUUGCAGUAGAUUGGCAAGGAUUUCCAGCUCCCAGCAACAAUAGCAGCAACAAAAUGACUCCCUGCACCGCCCUUAAUUUAUACUGCUGAAAUGAAGAGAGCAUAGAGUGGUAAUGGGAAAACCAACCUGAAGCCUCCAGAUAUGUUCACUCUCCUUGGAUAUAUCUUCCACCGUCUCCCCCAUCAAUGCGAUCAACAUGUUAAGGAGGAGAACAAAGGUCAAGAUGACGAAGGAGAUGCGGAGCAGCAGAAACAGAAUGGGGUAUUUUGCAUCCUCGUGGAUCUCCAGGUCACCAAGGCCUAAAGUGAGUUUGAAGAGUUCGAUCUCGACAUUCCCUAAAGUGCUGAAGUUACUGCACUUACUGUUUUCAGGACAAUCGUCUAUCAAGGCAGCAAGGGCUGUGUUUAAGAGAGAAAGAGAGAAGGGCACCUUUAAUAUUGUAUAUUUGUAGAAUGUCUUCUGUGUUCCUGUGCGCUUUUCUGGAAGUUUACAAGGAGUUCUUACGAGGGUCAAGAAUGGUUGACAAGCUCCCCAAAGACUCCCCAAUCCUUGCAUUUAUCUUACCCCAUAUUCAGAAGAAAACGUUGGGGGGAAGCUUCCACAUUGCAGUCUAUUGGAGACAUGAUGCGCUCAUCUACAGAAGUUUUGUUCACCAUCCACACAAUGUUGUCCCCACUAAAAUCCCAUCCCAUAACCCCACCCCAUUUAAUUUGGAUCUACCAUUUCCACAGGGUGGCUUUUUGGGUUUUUUUACUUGCUGCAUUUUCUGCAGAAUUGGUACAUCUGGAUUCAAUGGAGAAAUAAUAUGGGGCAGAGUGCUAGGAUGAUUUUCUGUGGAAACGACACAAAACUUGGCCGCAUGAACUGCCAUGUGGAAGAUCCAAAUCAUAUAUUGGUACAAUUUGGAUUGGUGUAAGAGGAUGCAAGCUUACACAUUUCACUGAAUGCUUUGUCGGGCAGAGCAGGGCUAUGUUUACCUAGAUGGGCCAUGAGUUCUGCAGGCUUAGUCCAGCAAAGAUUAGAUAGCUCAGCAUUCCAGCUAUGCAAAAUGUUUUUAAGAUACCGCCACCUUCCUAUAAUAACCAUCAAAUUCUGCUUACCUACACCAAAUCCGAGCAGAAAUACAAUGUACACCACUAGAAACUUUAUCACGUCAUGCAAUAUGACCUAUAAAAGGAAAAGGAAAACACAAUGGCAUGUUAAUUAGAACCUCAAAACUCUCCAUUUUACCGCUCUACCUCUUUCAGUAGUUCAAGUUAUCAGCAUCAGUGUAUUCAGUCUAUAUGCAUUUGGAAAGCUGACCCCAAAAGCACUUUUACUGGAUGCUGAUACAUUGUGAAGACAAAACGGGCUCUCUCAAUUUGUCUGCAUUAAGAUGUGCUUCAGAGAUCCUUAUGCUGAAUCAGACCAUUGCUCCAUAAGAAUAUAAGAAGAGCCUGCUGAAUCAGGCCCAUGGCCCAACUAGCCCAGCAUCCUGUUCUCACAGUGGCCACCCAGAGAAUGCCUGUGGGAAACCAGCAAGCAGGACCCGGGCACAAGAGCUCUCUUCCCUCCUUCCAAUAGCAGAUAAAGGAAAAGGACCCCCAGACGGUUAAGUCCAGUCAAAGGCAGCUAUGCUGUUAGGCGCUCAUCUCGCUUCAGCCAAGCGGGCCAGUGUUUGUCCGCAGACAGCUUUCCAGGUCAUGUGGCCUGCAUGACUAAACCGCUUCUGGCACAACGGGACACCGUGAUGAUUGCCAGAGCCUACAGAAAUGUCAUUUACCUUCCCACUGCAGUGGUACCUAUUUAUCUGCUUGUGUUAGUAUGCUUUCGAAUUGCUAGGUUGGCAGGAGCUGGGACAGAGCAACGGGAGCUCACCCCAUGGCACGGAUUCAAACCGCCGACUUUCUGUUCAGCAAGCCCAAUAGAGGCAGAGCAUAGCCAUCAUCUAUCUAUCUCUGUGUUAUCAAUUGUGGCUCUCCAUGGUUUCAGGCAGGGAAUCUUUCCCCAUCCUGCCUGGAGAUGCCAGGGAUUAAACUCCUGCAUGCAGAGCAGGAGCUGCUCUUGCACUUCCCUCAAAGACAGGCUGCUUUGUUUCAAAAGAAGGAAAAAUGGGCAUUAGAAG